CAUUUUCUCAAAACAUGUUGGAUGACCCUCCCCUCAAAAAAGAAUAAAAAGACAUGACCCUCCCUUGAUUCCUCCGGUGGUCCAUUCCAAAAAUACCGAACGGUCCUUAAACAGCUUUGGCA